GAUGAACGCUGGCGGCGUGCCUAAUACAUGCAAGUCGAGCGAACAGAUGAGGAGCUUGCUCCUCUGACGUUAGCGGCGGACGGGUGAGUAACACGUGGAUAACCUACCUAUAAGACUGGGAUAACUUCGGGAAACCGGAGCUAAUACCGGAUAAUAUAUUGAACCGCAUGGUUCAAUAGUGAAAGACGGUUUUGCUGUCACUUAUAGAUGGAUCCGCGCCGCAUUAGCUAGUUGGUAAGGUAACGGCUUACCAAGGCAACGAUGCGUAGCCGACCUGAGAGAGUGAGCGGCCACACUGGAACUGAGACACGGUCCAGACUCCUACGGGAGGCAGCAGUAGGGAAUCUUCCGCAAUGGGCGAAAGCCUGACGGAGCAACGCCGCGUGAGUGAUGAAGGUCUUCGGAUCGUAAAACUCUGUUAUUAGGGAAGAACAAAUGUGUAAGUAACUAUGCACGUCUUGACGGUACCUAAUCAGAAAGCCACGGCUAACUACGU
rnacentral:rRNA from 1 species